GAAUGAUGCAAACAUAGGACUGCUUUUUUUACGUUUGUCAAUUUUGUGUAUGUGCCUCUGUUAAUGAAAUUCAACUGUUUUUUCCCUCCUUUUUGACUACCAAGACAUUUCCUCCAAAUUCUGCUCAGUGAGAGAGAAGUGGACCCAAACACCUGCCUUCCUGGUGAGCGGAUGUUCCAACCUGGAUCAGCCGAGCCGUCACAGCUGAUCCAACCUGACUCGCACACAAUUUGAAUAAAAUCAUAUCUACAAACAUUGGCUUUAAAUUGGGUCCAAACAGGAUAUGUUGGCUGUGCUCACAUGAGGACCCUGACUUGUUUUCUGGACUCAUGAUGAGGUUUUCUGUCACUCAUUUUAAGCUCUGUGAUCAAGAAGGUCCAAAUCAGCAUUACAUUCUUCUAAAGCAGCUGACUCUUUUAUCUGUUUGUAUGCUGGGAUACAUCCUAUUUCGUAUUGAAUCAGUAAGAAAAUCAUAAUCUACAUUCAUUGAACUAUUUCAAUAAAGGUCAUGAAAACACAGCAACAACCCA